GUGAAGAGACUAAUGUGUGUUUGUGCCAAUAUAAUUCCAAUCCUGGUUUGUCUCAAGAUGGUGAUGAGUCUGAAUAGUUAAAGAGAAUUCCAUGUCUGGAAGAGUCUGUUAACACUUUGAUAUUCAAGCAAGCUUCUUUCUUAACAGUGUAUAACAGGUUAUAGGCCUAGCAAGCUUCCUUCGUAACAGUGUAUAAUGGGUUAUAAUAGGCCUAGCAAGCUUCUUUCUUAACAGUGUAUAAUGGGUUACGAUAGGCCUAGCAAGCUUCUUUCUUAACAGUGUAUAACAGGUUAUAGGCCGAACAAGCUUCUUUCUUAACAGUUUAUAACAGGUUAUAGGCCUAGCAAGCUUCUUAACAGUUUAUAACAGGUUAUAGGCCUAACAAGCUUCUUAACAGUUUAUAACUGGUUAUAGGCCUAACAAGCUUCUUAACAGUUUAUAACGGGUUAUAGGCCUAACAAGCUUAAUAACAGUUUAUACCAAGUUAUAGGCCUAGUAGUUUUUCUGACUGAAAGUUAACAUGUUACAGUGCUGAUCAAGGAAAACACAUUUCUUUGGACAUUUUUCAUGGUUAAGACUUGUGUGUCUCAAUAAAGUUUUAUAAGAUCCAACUGUUAUUUCCUCUGAUAUUAUGUUUUUAUUGUCUCCAGGUAAGAAAUGAGGAUUGUGAUCAGAUGACUACGGCUACCAUAGAGGGACAUACAGAACAGAGCGGACGCCCCAACACACUGUUCCCCUACCUUUUUAUUAACAUGAAAUUCCAGGCUCAAAGUGGAUUGUGAUGUAUUCAAACCCAUUGUGAAUCCAGUGUGCACCUUCAAAUAGUUUUACAAGAGUUCAAAAACAUGAAACGAACGAAUAAAGGAAUCUAAAAUGUC